rnacentral:rRNA from 1 species
UACGAAGGGGGCUAGCGUUGCUCGGAAUCACUGGGCGUAAAGCGCACGUAGGUGGAUCGCUAAGUCAGGGGUGAAAUCCUGGAGCUCAACUCCAGAACUGCCUUUGAUACUGGCAAUCUCGAGUCCGGGAGAGGUGAGUGGAACUGCGAGUGUAGAGGUGAAAUUCGUAGAUAUUCGCAAGAACACCAGUGGCGAAGGCGACUUACUGGACACAUAUUGACGCUGAGGUGCGAAAGCGUGGGGAGCAAACAGG